rnacentral:misc_RNA from 1 species
GAUGAAGAACGCAGCGAAAUGCGAUAAGUAGUGUGAAUUGCAGAAUUCAGUGAAUCAUCGAAUCUUUGAACGCACAUUGCGCCCCUUGGUAUUCCAUGGGGCAUGCCUGUUCGAGCGUCAUUUGUACCCUCAAGCACGGCUUGUGUGUUGGGCCUCCGUCCUCCUCCCGGGGGACGGGCCCGAAAGGCAGCGGCGGCACCGCGUCCGGUCCUCGAGCGUAUGGGGCUUCGUCACCCGCUCUUGUAGGCCCGGCCGGCGCUUGCCGACACAUCAAUCUUUUUUCCAGGUUGACCUCGGAUCAGGUAGGGAUACCCGCUGAACUUAAGCAUAUCAAUAAGCGGAGGA